UACGAAGGGGACUAGCGUUGUUCGGAAUCACUGGGCGUAAAGCGCACGUAGGCGGAUUGUUAAGUCAGGGGUGAAAUCCCGGGGCUCAACCUCGGAACUGCCUUUGAUACUGGCGAUCUCGAGUCCGGAAGAGGUGGGUGGAAUUCCUAGUGUAGAGGUGAAAUUCGUAGAUAUUAGGAAGAACACCAGUGGCGAAGGCGGCCCACUGGUCCGGUACUGACGCUGAGGUGCGAAAGCGUGGGGAGCAAAC
rnacentral:rRNA from 1 species